rnacentral:rRNA from 1 species
GACGAACGCUGGCGGCGUGCUUAACACAUGCAAGUCGAGCGGUAAGGCCUUUCGGGGUACACGAGCGGCGAACGGGUGAGUAACACGUGGGUGAUCUGCCCUGCACUUCGGGAUAAGCCUGGGAAACUGGGUCUAAUACCGGAUAUGACCUCCUAUCGCAUGGUGGGUGGUGGAAAGAUUUAUCGGUGCAGGAUGGGCCCACGGCCUAUCAGCUUGUUGGUGGGGUAAUGGCCUACCAAGGCGACGACGGGUAGCCGACCUGAGAGGGUGACCGGCCACACUGGGACUGAGACACGGCCCAGACUCCUACGGGAGGCAGCAGUGGGGAAUAUUGCACAAUGGGCGAAAGCCUGAUGCAGCGACGCCGCGUGAGGGAUGACGGCCUUCGGGUUGUAAACCUCUUUCAGCAGGGACGAAGCGCAAGUGACGGUACCUGCAGAAGAAGCACCGGCUAACUACGUG